rnacentral:lncRNA from 1 species
AUCAGCCUCCUGAGAGCUGGGACUACAGGCGCCUGCCACCACAUCCGGUUAAUUUUUGUAUUUUUAGUAGAGAUGGGGUUUUGCCAUGUUGGCCAGGCUGGUCUUGAACUCCUGAGCUCAGGUGAUCUGCCCACCUCGGCCUCCCAAAGUUCUGGGAUUACAGGCGUGAGCCAUGGUGCCCAGCCUGGCUCCUGUUUUUUGAGACAGGGUUUCACCCUGUUUCCCAGGUUGGAGUAUAGUGGUGCCGUCAUGACUUACUGCAGCCUUGAACUCUUUGGCUCAAGCAGUCCUCCCCACUCAGCCUCUCUAGUAGCUGGGGCUCCAGGCAUGAAUCACCGUGCCAGACUAAGUUUUUUUAAAAUUUUUUGUAGAGAGAAUCUCUCUCUGUUGCACAGGCUAUUCUUGAACUCCUAGGCUCAAGUGAUCCUCCUGCUUCAGCCUCCGAAAGUGCUGGGAUUACAGUUGUGAGUCACUGUGCCUGGCUCUUUUAAUCUUGAAAACUCUGGGAAGAGCUCACUUCUGUUUAGGAGGCUGCCUUGGGAACUGCAUCUCCUGGGCUGGUGCUCUGUGCUGCUUGGAGUCUGCAGACCCUAUCUGGGUCGCUUGGCCUCCCGUGCACAAGCUGCCAGAAUGGAGGCCCCAUUCUCAAUGUGGGGGCUGCCCAAAGAGCAGGGAGCUUCCCACAGGACAGAGGCUGGGCACCUGCUUGGCCUGGUUCUUCCUUUUCCCAGGGCUCCAACACCCACCCCCUCAGGUCCUCCCAAACCCUGCAGGUCCCUGGCCUGGUCCGUCCACACCUACACUCAGGAAUCUCUACACAUCUCUGAGUUGCUGCAUCUGUCUUCAGGCACAGCCCACCAGCCCCCCUGGGUACCCAAAGACACCGCAAAUAUCAGCCAUUCCAGACAACGUCCUCCUCCCGUGUCCCUAUCUCAUGGAGUAAUGCCUCUAAUUCAGCCACACCAAGACCCCACGCUCCACAUCCCCUAGAACUCUCAUCUCCUGUGGCCCAACAUGGCCCUUCCUUUCAGCAGUGGGAUGUGGGAAGGAUCAAGGUCACCCUUGUCCAAAUCCCAUGCAGACAACGGUGUUGGAGUCUUGGGCCCAAAGACCAGCUCCUAGAACCUGCAGGGAAGCAACGGCACGUUCCAUCUCUCCCCAUGCCACUGAGGAAUCAUUGGUGGCAGGAUUCUCAGCAGGCAUGGCCGUGGGUGCACAGAACAGAGAAAGGAUGGCCUGGACCACACACAUCACUGUGUGCAGAUGCUUUCCUAGACACUGCAGCCAAGGACACAGAGGCUCAGAGAGAAUAACCUCCAUCUCCUGGGUCCCAGCGAUUCUCCUGCCUCAGCCUCUUCCUAUUUCACAAGUAGGGAAACUGAAGCCCAGGUAGGCAAGCCUGACUUGCUGGAGUCACACAGGAAGUUGGCAGCUCUGCUCCAUCCCUGGGAUCUGGAGCCCCUGCUCUGGGGAAGGAGAGGUGGGGCGCUGCCUUCCCAGAGUCCCCUCAAGCUGGCAGGGACGGCUGUACCCCCAGGGUCAGAGGAGAACUAAAAGGAGCGGAAGCUGGCCUGGGUCCAGGGAGAGACCUCGUGUUUGCCCAAAAGGGAGCUGGAGAGGGGCAGCUGGGCCCAUAUGCAGGGAGGAGCUGCAGGGAGCUGGUGGCGGGGCAGCAAAGAGAAGUGGAUUUGGUGGGUAGAGGGGCCCCUCCUUGGUUCUAGUCCUCCCCGCAGCCCCUUGCAAACAGGCGGGGCUCUCCUGUCCUUCUUGUCUCCUGCAGCAAGCCCUACAUGAAGAGGCCUCUUUGGUGAGUGGCAGCUCAACCUCUGCUAAAUGCCUCCAGUGAUGGGGAGUUCACUACCUUCCAAAGUUUUUAAAAGAUGUUAACCACUGCUAUUCAAGAACAAUUCUAGAAUUUUUUUUUUUUUGAAAGACAAGGUCUCAUUCUGUCUCGCAGGCCAGAGUGCAGUGGUGUGAUCAUAGCUCACUGCAGCUUUGACUUCCUGGGCUCAAGCAAUCCUCCCUCCUCAGCCUCCUGAGUACCUGAGACUACAGAUGUGCACCACCACACUGGCUCAUUGUUUUCAUUUUUUGUAGAGACAGGAUCUCACUAUGUUGCCCAGGCUGGUCUCCUGGCUUCAAGCAAUCCUCCUGCCUUGGCCUCCCAAAGUGCUGGGAUUACAGGCGUGAGCCACUGCAUCUGGCCUUUUUUUUUUGGAGAUAGAGUCUCGCUCUGUCGCCCAGGGUGGAGUGCAGUGGCGUGAUCUCGGCUCAUUGCAACCUCCGCCUUCCGGGUUCACACCAUUCUCCUGCCUCAGCCUCCCGAGUAGCUGGGAUUACAGGCAUCUGCCAACCAUGCCUGGCUAAUUUUUGUAUUUUUUGGUGGAGACAGGGUCUCACCAUGUUGGCUAGGCUGGUUUCGAACUCCCGACCUCAGGUGAUCUACCCGCCUCAGCCUCCCAAAGUCCUGGGAUUACAGGCUGAGCCACCGCGACCGGCCCUGCUGUUGCUUCUGAGGUUUGAAAACCGCUGCCUCAAUGCUCCUGAUUCAGCUCUUCUUACCCAAAGGUUCCCCCACCUCAUCUACUCUGUUCCUGCACAGUCGCCCUUUUCUCUGAUGCCCCGGGCAGGUUUCUCUCUGCCAGCUCCACGCUUCUGGAGUCCCCCAUCCGUCUUGGGGCCCAGCUGCCCACUGUCUGGGUUCAGACCUUCUCAACACUCCCUGGCUUCUCUGCCCUAGUUUUGCCUUCUCCAAUCCACUCUUGGUGGGUGGAAGUACGGUUACCAUGGUAACUUGAAGACAACGCAAAUCUGAUUGUAUCAUUACAAUGACUGGGAAAACCUCCAGUGCCACAAAAUAAAGCUCAAGUCACUAGCUUUGCAGUCCAGGCCCUUUACCAUUCCGGCAGCAUUUCUGGGGGCUAUUCUCCUUCCCCCCACUGCACAACCCCGCCUGGCCACCCCAGGCUCAGGCUGCAGAACAGCGUAGACCAGGGAGUGGCUUUGGGGUCAUGCUAACUACCUGGUUUUUGUCUCUUUCAGGCUGUUUGCUCAGUUGCAAAAUGGGAAGGACAACAGCACCCGCCUCACAGGCUAAGAGGCUGUGUGUGAAAAGCCCGCAGCACAGGAUCUGGCACGCGUGGACGUGCGGGAUGGGAGGAGGGGAUUUCCCAGCUCCUCAUCUCUGCAGGGACUGGCCUUGGCCUAGGGAACACUAGCUGUCCAGGGAGGGGGAGCUUUCCCUGAGCCCCCCGAUGUGUGGCAGGCAGAGGAGAGCAAGCUACUUCUGGGAGGGGAGUUGUGGGGAAGGGCAAGUUAGUCUUUACUGAGGGUGGCAGUGAGCUGGCACUUUGGUCUCACCUCGGCUGCAGAAACCCACCCUGCUCCCGUCUUAUUUCCUGGGGAUUUCAGCUGUGUGCAGGCACAGAUGCAUCUCCCAAGUGCCUCAUGCUUGCCUUGAUCUCCUCUCCUUCCUCUGGCCAGUCCUGAACCUCUUGGUGAUCCACGGCGGCACCUCUGUGUCCUACAUCCUUCUCUGGCCAUCUCCUUCCCUCCUUCCAGCCCUCCCUCUAGGACCCUGACCCCAACCAUCCUUCAUCCCCAUGGGGACAUUCAGUCCACUGACUCAUCACCCUCCCCUGUCCCUCUGUGAGAGAAGGAGCAGGCAGAGAGGAUCUUGCAAGAGCCUUCAGCAACUCUCUUCCACCCAUCCUGUUGCUUGCUGCUUUUUUUUUUUUUUUUUCCAAAAAAAUAGAGAUGGGGUCUUGCUAUGUGGCUGGUCUCAAACUCCUGGGCUCAAGUGAUCCUCCUGCCUCGGCCUCCCAAAGUGCUGGAUUACAGGCGUGAGCCACCACACCCGGCUCCGUUCCCUUUCUAAGCAGGGUGCUCCUUUUCUUGCCAUUUCCCCCAUCCUCCUUCCUCUCCCACAGCUCACUUCCCUCUCUACUGAAUCUGCUGAAGAUCAUGCAGCUGCUGUUCCUGCCUCUAAAACCCUCUCUUGGCUGGGUGUGGUGGGUGACAUAUGUAAUCCCAGCACUUUGGGAGGCUGAGGCAGGAGAAUCACUUGAACCCGGGAGGCGGAGGUUGCAGUGAGCCGAGAUUGCGCCACUGCACUCCAGCCUAGGUGAUAGAGCAAGACUCUGUCCCCUCCCUCCACCAAAAAAAUAAAGCCCUCUCUGCAUCCAUUCCACUCUCCACUCUUGCUCAUUCUCUCCUGCCCUCUAAAAGGUGAUCUGUCUUUGGCAGAUUCAAUCACUUGCCUUUCUCAUUCUCUCCUGAGCCCACUAUUCCACUCUGGUCCCCACCACUUCCCCCAAAACUGCUUUGAACCAUCGCACUGCAACCUGUUGCUUAGCCCCUCCAUCUAGUCUCAGGCGUUAGGACUGACUGCCCAGCAGAGGCUGGUGCAACCAAUCACCUCCUUUAGUAAGUUUCUCCCUGGGCUUCACCUCUUCACCUGUGGGCUUUCCACCUGUCUCUCUCUUUUUUUUUUAAGACAGUCUCCUCUGUUGCCAGGCUGGAAUGCCGUGGCGCAAUCUCAGCUCACUGCAACCUCUACCUCCUGGGUUCAAGCGAUUCUCCUGCCUCAGGCUCCCAAGUAGCUGGGAUUACAGGUGCCCGCCACCACACCGGGCUAAUUUUUGUAUUUUUAGUAGAGUCGGGGUUUCACCAUGUUGCCCAGGCUGGUCUCGAACUCCUGACCUUACGUGAUCCACCCGCCUCAGCCUCCCAAAGUGCUGGGA